CUGGGCUGUCUACCCUUGGGAUUAUUUACCCCUCACCCACAUCAUAUUGAGUGACAUGUAUAGGAGGGAGCCUAAAAUUUGAAUACCUGAAUUUGAAGAACAAGACAUUGCAUGGAUACGUUAUAUUCACCAUGGGCAAAUAGUAAUAUUCACAAUUUGAGCAAAUGGCCCAAAAUGUGGACACAUUUGCAUUUGUCCAUAAC